AUGUAGUUCGAUGGUAGUGUAUUAUCAGAACUUAUUAACAUUAGUAUCGUUAAAGUUGAUAUAAACCUCCCUACUGUUAAAUUUGACUGGCUUUAA
rnacentral:Y_RNA from 1 species